rnacentral:lncRNA from 1 species
CAAGUGAGAGCCAUUCUAAGAAACUUGAACAGUCAGAUUCAUAGUAAACACCUAGAAUUGAAAGUACAAAAAGUGUCAGCAGAAAAAGCAGGUCAUAGGUUCUCACAUUUAUUUUCCUCCUGAAUGACCCAUCGACACAAUGUGAAGAAAGAGUGUGGCUCCCAGUCAUGAGAUUUGCCACUGAUAAUAGAGGGGAGCAAUAACUUCUGAUUAGUUUGGAGAUCUUCCACCAAUAUGCCCAGUGGAUUCUCCCACCAGGGCCAGGUAACCUUCCUCACCAGAGGUGAGCAUCUUGGGAAAAAGUACAUCCUGUCUUUGCCCCCAGAGGUGACUUCAAAGAGGCAGGUAUGGUCAAGAGAGACACUGGAAGAUGGAAGUUACUUCAGUGUUCCAGUUGCUGGUGUAGCCAGGGCUUCACAGCGUGGAAGUAUGGCAUCAUGAUGUCUACUGCACAUCUAUUCCCAACCCCAUAUUCAGUUGUUUCAUGUAGUCUCUUGAAAUCUAUGGAAACUAGAAAACACUACAAAUAAAGCCUUGAUUUAUUGUUUUGUUGAUUGUCUUGACUUAAGAAACUGAUAGACAAUGUGUUAUUAAUGCAGAUUAAACUUAAAAAUGUUUACCUCAGUGGCCGUUAUACUGUGAAUACCACAAAAACUGAGCAAAUAUUUUUCUAGUAUUUGAAAAGUAUUAUCCAAUUCAGCAAAUAAUGUCACUUUUAAGUGAAUAAAGUAUGGGCAUGCCUUCAUUGCUUUAGUUUCUUGUUACUUGUAAACAC